rnacentral:misc_RNA from 1 species
GGCGGUUCACGAUCCCCGCGGCUCUAUUAUUGUACUACUGGUACUUGUUUAUUUAUAAUAUAUAGAUCAACCAUCUAUAGAAGUAUAGAUAGAGAUAAACAAGAGAAAUAAAGAAGCCGAGUCUAACAUCAGGUAGACAAGGUUGAACUAGUCCUAUAGCUCAGUUGGUUAGAGCGCUACACUGAUAAUGUAGAGGUCGGCAGUUCAACUCUGCCUGGGACUACUCCGAACAAAAAUUGUCGUUGCCAAUACAGUGUUGGAAUGUUCAAUUACUCUUGGGGGAUUAGCUCAGCUGGCUAGAGUGCCUUGCACGCAGAGGGUCAACGGUUCGAAUCCGUUAUUCUCCACCAUCUCUGAAAAGAGAAACGAUCUUUGACAUGAUGUACAAAAAGUAAAAUUUAGUAAAGAGCUAAAAGUAUAUAUCGAACCGUACGUUUUAAGUACAACACUAUUAAGUACUUUGGGUUAAUACCUGAUACUUGAUACCUAAUACUUAAAAGUAAGUUNANAGAAAGUAANCGGGGNGCAAAUA